AGCGAACGCUGGCGGCAGGCUUAACACAUGCAAGUCGAACGGGCCCUUCGGGGUCAGCGGCGGUCGUGUGGGUAACGCGUGGGAACGUGCCUUCUGGUCUGGAAUAACCCUGGGAAACUAGGGCUAAUACCGGAUACGCCCUUUUGGGGAAAGGUUUACUGCCGGAAGGUCGGCCCUCGUCAGAUUAGCUGGUUGGGGGUGUAACGGCCUACCAAGGCGACGAUCGGUAGCUGGUCGGAUAGGAGGCUCAGCCGCACUGGGACUUCGACACGGCCCACACUGCGACGGGAGGGAGCAGUAGGGAACAUUGGAGACGGGGCGCAAGUGUGAUCCAGCCAUGCGGCGUGAGUGAUGCAGGGCUUAGGGUUGUAAAGCCCUCUUAUCCGGGACGAUAAUGACGGUAACGGAGGAAGAAGCCCCGGCUAACUUCGUG
rnacentral:rRNA from 1 species